UGCAAACGGUUUGUACUAAGAUUCUCUAUUUUCAGCUAUCUUUAAAUAUGGUAACUUGGGAUGAUCAUCUCCUGACAGCUCGUCUGUGGAGGACUAGCGGGAUCUGCUGCUGCCUUUUUCACAACCCCGUUGAUGUAGUGAAAACAAGAUUACAAACUCAGAUUCCUGGAUCUAAGACCCAACAUCCUAGUGUGUAUCAAGCUCUUCAAUCAAUACGGAAACGAGAAGGCCACGAGGGCUAUACAGAGGUUUGAUCCCCAGACUGGUGAUGUACAUGUCCCAAGGAGCUAUAUUCUUUGCUUCAUAUGAAUUUUACAAGAGUAUACUCUCUCUAGAAGAUCUCUCAGCUCGCUGGCACAAAACAAAAGAUGGAGAUAACCCUAACCCAUUAUAGGACAAAGAUUGUAAUACUUUAAGCAUUACCAUUUUUGGGCUAUCUAACUAUUGAUUUGAUGAAAAUUCAUUUGUUCAAAGUACUUUUUUU